rnacentral:tRNA from 2 species
GUGUCUGUAGCUCAGCUGGAUAGAGCAACGCCCUUCUAAGGCGUGGGCUAGGAGUUCGAAUCUCUUCAGACACGCCA